rnacentral:rRNA from 1 species
AUUGAACGCUGGCGGCAUGCUUUACACAUGCAAGUCGAACGGUAACAGGCCUUCGGGCGCUGACGAGUGGCGAACGGGUGAGUAAUGCAUCGGAACGUGCCCAGUCGUGGGGGAUAACGCAGCGAAAGCUGUGCUAAUACCGCAUACGAUCUGCGGAUGAAAGCGGGGGACCUUCGGGCCUCGCGCGAUUGGAGCGGCCGAUGUCAGAUUAGGUAGUUGGUGGGGUAAAGGCUCACCAAGCCAACGAUCUGUAGCUGGUCUGAGAGGACGACCAGCCACACUGGGACUGAGACACGGCCCAGACUCCUACGGGAGGCAGCAGUGGGGAAUUUUGGACAAUGGGCGCAAGCCUGAUCCAGCAAUGCCGCGUGCAGGAAGAAGGCCUUCGGGUUGUAAACUGCUUUUGUACGGAGCGAAAAGGCUCCCUCUAAUACAGGGGGCUCAUGACGGUACCGUAAGAGUAAGCACCGGCUAACUACGUGCCAGCAGCCGCCGCCGUAA